AUGACCGGCGAAACCUGUUUCGUUUACAACGAGGAGCGUGAGUACUUAGUAAUAAAUUGGGCAAGACCACCUUGGCUUAGCUGGCUUACAACGAUGUGUUUGUGAUCAAACCGUGCUGUUGAAGAAACAUUGAACUCGAGUAACUUCACAACUUGUAUGACGAGGGCCGUGAGGACUUAUAGAAAAUUUAACAAGUCUUGUCUUAGUACCCAAAUUGAUGCCGUAUCAUUCGCGUUGAAGCUGCUCGACCUAAAUUAGCCUAGCGCGCUAACAAGAUUACCUACGUAGAGUAUACAACGAGGACCAAACAUUGAACGUGGACUCAACCUUCAACUACUAGACUGAGGGCCAUUGUGGUUUGAAUCCCUUCCAUCCACAUAUCCUUUAAAUCACCACAUCCUUUAUAUUUUCACACAGGUAGUGUGUGAUUUUUGUAUUUUAUGUGCUGAAUUUAUUUGAUUGCUUGUUUUAACGAUCUGCAACACGAAGGGGGGCUCAAUUCCUGUGCGUCCUGUAGGCCAGUCCCAAGCCCAGAUAAUGCAGAGGGUUGUGGCAGGAAGGGCAUCUGGCGUAAAACUGUGCCAAACAUAUAUGAGUGUUCAUCGAACGAAUUCCAUAAUUUAUAGCACUGGCACUGUUAAUCUGCAAGAUGUAGGUAGAAAUUUAGAUAAUGUAGUUUGAAGACAAAAAAGAAGAGGAAAGCGGCUUAGUCGGCAGAAGAAGAAGAGGCAUGGACAGAUAGGAUUAAAAAUGAGCUCAUUAGAGGGACACCCAAAGUUGGAUGUUUUGGAGACAAGGUCAGAGAGAGCACAAUUAGAUUGUUUGGACAUGUUCAGAGACGAGAGAGUGAGUAUAUUGGUAGAAGGGUGCUGAGGAUGGCGCUGCCAGGCAAAAGAGCGAGAGGAAGACCAAAGAAAAGGUUGAUGGAUGUUGUGAGGGAGGACAUGAUGACAGUGGGUGUGUUAGAGAAGAGGAUGGACGAGAUAGGCUUCGAUGGAAAAAGAUGACACGCUCUGGUGACCCCUUAACAGGACAAGCCGAAAGAAGAAGAGAUUUUCUCACUGACCAGUCUGUCUUAAAAGCAUCAACAUAAGACAUGAACAUUUCACACAUUGGUAAAAAGCUGUGUGUUUAGAUGUCACACUGGGACAGUUGUCAAUGAGAAGACUCUGUGACACAUGCUAUGGGAGAUGAACAAGAGAUUUUCUGAUUUUUUUGACGCUCCUUGAGACUGAAGCUCAUUUCGAAGAAGAGAACAUCUCAGAAUUGAGUGAAUUGACCGGGGGGUGCCCCGACACCAGUGGCUGUUAGCGGAGGGAGCUUCUUUCUCCUCCCUGCACGCAGCAAAACCACCUCCCGCCAGAUCCACCUCCACGUUGAGGCUAACGCCUGCGGCCGGCAAGCAACAUCGCCUGGCCGCUGGCAGAUGACAACAAUGCCAAGCCGCGUAGAUCGACACAUUUAAGAUCCUUGACUUACAUACGUUAUGAAAUUAUGAUGUGCAUCUUUUGUUAUGUUCUGAGAGAAUGAUUAUGUCGUCAGAUGCGGACAGAACUUUUUAUCAUUCCUGCUUUUCGGAAAAGUUUUUCAAGUUUGUUGACUAUACGUCUAGUUAGCUUGUGUUACACGGUACUAACCUGCCUUUGUACUUCUAUUUUGUUAUUGUUUUGUAUUUUAUUAUGUAGGAUUAAAUUGUUUUAAAAUGCAAUAAAAGUGCUUUGUUAUAUUUUG